AGUGAACGCUGGCGGUAGGCCUAACACAUGCAAGUCGAACGGCAGCACAGUAAGAGCUUGCUCUUACGGGUGGCGAGUGGCGGACGGGUGAGGAAUACAUCGGAAUCUACUUUUUCGUGGGGGAUGACGUAGGGAAACUUACGCUAAUACCGCAUACGACCUACGGGUGAAAGCAGGGGAUCUUCGGACCUUGCGCGAUUGUAUGAGCCGAUGUCGGAUUAGCUAGUUGGCGGGGUAAAGGCCCACCAAGGCGACGAUCCGUAGCUGGUCUGAGAGGAUGAUCAGCCACACUGGAACUGAGACACGGUCCAGACUCCUACGGGAGGCAGCAGUGGGGAAUAUUGGACAAUGGGCGCAAGCCUGAUCCAGCCAUACCGCGUGGGUGAAGAAGGCCUUCGGGUUGUAAAGCCCUUUUGUUGGGAAAGAAAAGCAGCAGGUUAAUACCCCGCUGUUCUGACGGUACCCAAAGAAUAAGCACCGGCUAACUUCGUG
rnacentral:rRNA from 1 species